rnacentral:rRNA from 1 species
UCGGGAAUUUUGGGCAAUGGGCGAAAGCCUGACCCAGCAACGCCGCGUGAAGGAUGAAGUAUUUCGGUAUGUAAACUUCGAAAGAAUAGGAAGAAUAAAUGACGGUACUAUUUAUAAGGUCCGGCUAACUACGUGCCAGCAGCCGCGGUAAUACGUAGGGACCAAGCGUUGUUCGGAUUUACUGGGCGUAAAGGGCGCGUAGGCGGCAAUUCAAGUCAUCUGUGAAAUCUCCGGGCUUAACUCGGAACGGUCAGAUGAUACUGCUUUGCUAGAGUGCAGAAGGGGCAAUCGGAAUUCUUGGUGUAGCGAUGAAAUGCGUAGAUAUCAAGAGGAACACCUGAGGUGAAGACGGGUUGCUGGGCUGACACUGACGCUGAGGCGCGAAAGCCAGGGGAGCAAACGGGGAUUAGAUACCCAGGUAGUCCCUGAGCGGGCUGGCAAGGCGCAU